rnacentral:rRNA from 1 species
GUGGGGAAUCUUAGACAAUGGGGGAAACCCUGAUCUAGCCAUGCCGCGUGAGCGAUGAAGGCCUUAGGGUUGUAAAGCUCUUUCAGAGGGGAAGAUAAUGACGGUACCCUCAGAAGAAGCCCCGGCUAACUCCGUGCCAGCAGCCGCGGUAAUACGGAGGGGGCUAGCGUUGUUCGGAAUUACUGGGCGUAAAGCGCACGUAGGCGGACCAGAAAGUCAGGGGUGAAAUCCCGGGGCUCAACCCCGGAACUGCCUUUGAAACUCCUGGUCUUGAGGUCGAGAGAGGUGAGUGGAAUUCCGAGUGUAGAGGUGAAAUUCGUAGAUAUUCGGAGGAACACCAGUGGCGAAGGCGGCUCACUGGCUCGAUACUGACGCUGAGGUGCGAAAGCGUGGGGAGCAAACAGGAUUAGAUACCCUAGUAGUCC